CACAUCCAAGGAAGGCAGCAGGCGCGCAAAUUACCCACUCCCGGCACGGGGAGGUAGUGACGAAAAAUAACGACGCGGGACUCUGUCGAGGCCCCGCGAUCGGAAUGAGUACACUUCAAAUCCGUUAACGAGGAUCGACCGGAGGGCAAGUCUGGUGCCAGCAGCCGCGGUAAUUCCAGCUCCGGUAGCGUAUAUUAAAAUUGUUGCGUUUGAAAAGCUCGUAGUCGGAAUUCGGGUCUCGAAAGCGUGCGCCAGCACGUUCGGGGCGACGGCGCCGUUGCAGUCGCGCCUCGCGCGCGUCGGCUUCGGUCGUCCGUUCGCACUCCCGGCCCUAUUCGCCGGUGCGUGUACGGUCGGGCCGCUGAGCUCUGCGCGCAUCGCCGCUCCGCGCUCGCUAUGAGCGGCCGUCGGUUUCCGCCUCGUCAGCGCGCGCGGUGUGUCCUCCUCGCGUGUUCGCGCGCGUGUCGUUCGGCGCUUCGUGCGUCGUCUCGCGCGCGUGUCUCGCGUGCGUCCCCGCGCUGCUGCUGCUCCGUGGCUUACGGCUGGCGGUCGUUCGCGGGCACUUUGCGGUCGCGCGUCCAUCUCGUGGUAAUUCGCCGAUCGGCACGGUUCCUCCGAGGGUGCUCUUUGCCGAGUGUCCGAGGCGGCCGGUACGUUCACUGUGAAAAAAUUAGAGUGCUCAGAGCGAGCCCCGCCGGCUUGCAUACGAAAAGCAUGGAAUGAUGGAAAAUGGCCUCGUCCGCGCGUCAUCCGUCGGUCUCCGUUCACGACGAGGCAAUGAUCGAAGGGAGCGAUCGGGGCCACUCGUAUUGCGACGUUAGAGGUGAAAUUCUUGGAUCGUCGCAAGACGCACUGCAGCGACGGCGUGUGGCAAGCACGUUUUCCUCGAUCAAGAGCGAAAGUCGGAGGUUCGAAGACGAUCAGAUACCGUCGUAGUUCCGACCGUAAACGAUGCCGACUGGCGCUCCGCCGGCGUUCGCUUCGAUGACCCGGCGGGGAGCCUGCGCGGGAAACCAUAGUCGGUUCCGGGGGGAGUAUGGUUGCAAAACAGAAACUUAAAGGAAUUGACGGAAGGGCACCACCAGGAGUGGAGCCUGCGGCUUAAUUUGACUCAACACGGGAAAACUCACCCGGUCCGGACACCGGUAGGAUUGACAGAUCGAUAGCUCUUUCUCGAUUCGGUGGGUGGUGGUGCAUGGCCGUUCUUAGUUGGGGAGCGAUCCUCUNNNNNNNNNNNNNNNNNNNNNNNGCAAUAACAGGUCUGUGAUGCCCUUAGAUGUCCGGGGCCGCACGCGCGCUACACUGGAGGUAUCAGCGGGCGCGUCUCCCCCGGCCCGAGAGGGUCGGGAAACCUCUGAACCACCUCCCGUGAUAGGGAUCGGGGCCUGGAACCAACCCCGUGAACGAGGAAUUCCCGGUAGGCGCGGGUCAUCAGCCCGCGUCGAUCACGUCCCUGCCCUUUGUACACACCGCCCGUCGCUACUACCGAUCGAACGGUCCGGUGAGGUCCUCGGAUCUGGCCGACGAGUCCGCAGGCCGUUCGGCGGCGUUUCGGUCCGAUUUGCGGGCGAUCACUCGCUCGCGUUCGGUCCGUUGCCGUCGUUCGGUGCGCUCUCUGAUGGCCCGGAGAAGACGACCGAACCCGAUCGCUUAGAGGAAGUAAAAGUCGUAACAAGGUUUCC
rnacentral:rRNA from 1 species